UAAAGAGGGCACUGGAGCACAACUAUUAUGCCCUGCUACUGGAUCAGUCCUCAGUAGGGAAGACGUCAUCGGUGAGGUGGGAAAAUGGGAAUCACCCCUGCUGUCUUUCAGUUCGUACCCUCCAUCCCGCCACGCUGAAAUCCAUGCUGCUUCCAAACUACGGGGGCUUCGUUCAGUCCAAUGGUUGGUGUUCCAUCUCGUGCUUGCGGCAGCCUAUUCAGAUUGGCUCUCCCAUGCUAGACCCUCGUACAGGUGACCUGGUGCUCAUCACCAGCGUCAGUCUUGAUCCCCAUACAGGAGCUGUACUACCAGUUGGGGGGCUUCUCUUGGGUGAGUCCUUCAAUAAGCCCUUGAGCGGCCGGAUGGCACGGGUUGGUGGAUGCAGUGUGCGAGGAGGAAAGGUGGUGCCUCAUGCUGGGGGUUUCCAGGCUCUGCUGGGCGCUUGCUUGCGGGUGGCGGAGCUCUUGCAAGGAUUCAGUGAGGAGUGGAGCUCAGCAGCUGCAGAUCCACAAGGGGAAAUCAAGCUUCCUGGCACUGAACUAUCCUUGCCAGCUCUCCCUGGGUUGGAGUAUCCUGACCCUGGAGGCUCGGGUUUGCAUGUCCCAGUUCUGGGAGCUCAGUUGGACUGGGUGUCAGGAUACAAGGUGCCUCUGGCAGCAACCAUGGAGGAUGCAGAUAGUAAAGGAGACGAGGAGGAGUGGGAGCAGCAGUGUUACUGGCACACCAAGCUUAAGGCCGUGCUGAAUGUAGUGAGUGUGUCCAUGGAGAGACUGGGGAUCGGCUGUCGGCACAGGAAACACAGCAUCUGGUCAGCUUGUUUUCCCUUUGAAACAUAA
ensembl:lncRNA